rnacentral:rRNA from 1 species
AUUGAACGCUGGCGGCAGGCCUAACACAUGCAAGUCGAGCGGAGCGGCGGACGGGCGAGUAAUUCCUAGGUAUCUGCCUGGCUGUGGGGGAUAACGUCCUGCAACGGGCGCUAAUACCUCACACUUUCAGAUGAGCCUAGGUCGGAGUAGCUAGUUGGUGGGGUAAAGGCCUACCAAGGCGACGAUCCGUAACUGGUCUGAGAGGAUGAUCAGUCACACUGGAACUGAGACACGGUCCAGACUCCUACGGGAGGCAGCAGUGGGGAAUAUUGGACAAUGGGCGAAAGCCUGAUGCAGCCAUGCCGCGUGUGUGAAGAAGGUCUUCGGGUUGUAAAGCACUUUAAGUUGGGAGGCGUUACCAGCAGAAUAAGCACCGGCUAACUUCGUGCCAGCAGCCGCGGUAAUAC